rnacentral:rRNA from 1 species
GACGUAGGGCGCGAGCGUUGUCCGGAUUAUUGGGCGUAAAGAGCUCGUAGGCGGCUUGUCGCGUCGACUGUGAAAUCCCCGUCAGCUUAACUGGGGAACUGCGUCUGAUACUGGAUGGCUUGGAUCCGGGAGAGGGAUGCGGAAUUCCAGGUGUAGCGGUGAAAUGCGUAGAUAUCUGGAGGAACACCGGUGGCGAAGGCGGCAUCCUCGGACCGGUAUUGACGCUGAGGAGCGAAAGCC